rnacentral:rRNA from 1 species
AGCGUAGACGGAAUGGCAAGUCUGAUGUGAAAGGCCGGGGCUCAACCCUGGGACUGCAUUGGAAACUGUCAAUCUAGAGUACCGGAGGGGUAAGUGGAAUUCCUAGUGUAGCGGUGAAAUGCGUAGAUAUUAGGAGGAACACCAGUGGCGAAGGCGGCUUACUGGACUGUAACUGACGCUGAGGCGCGAAAGUGUGGGGAGCAAACA